rnacentral:rRNA from 1 species
AGAGUUUGAUCCUGGCUCAGAAUCAACGCUGGCGGCGUGCCUAACACAUGCAAGUCGCACGAGAAAGAGGGGGCAACUCCUUGAGUAAAGUGGCGUACGGGUGAGUAACACGUGACUAACCUACCUCCGAAUGGGGAAUAACCUCGGGAACGGGCGUAAUACCGCAUAACAUCUACGGAUCAAAGCAGCAAUGCGUUUGG